GUAUUACUGAAGAGUCCUUAAAUAAGACGAAACAGCUGUCCAGUAC
rnacentral:hammerhead_ribozyme from 1 species